GAAAAGUAUUCUCAAAUAUCCGUGAGUUUCUUUCCAGCCAUAGAGCAUAUGAUACUUCAGCAAUCACCAUUUUGAAUAUAGUGGCUCUACAGGAUUUCCCUUUAGCCUUACUGAUGAACCAGUGGAGUUUUUGAUCCCAAGUAUAUGUCUUUGGAUGAUUCUCUUGAUUCCAAUGCAUUGCAUGCUCCCAUAACUCAGUUGAAAAGGGACAGGAUAGAAACAGAUGAUCUCUU
rnacentral:lncRNA from 1 species